UUGAUUGAUUGAUUGAUUUCAGUUUUUUCCAACUGCUAACACACUAAAAUGACACGCAUAGCCCAAUUAUUUAAACUGACACACAGAGAGCAAAAUCUCU